CCUACGGGUGGCAGCAGUGGUGAAUAUUGGACAAUGGGCGAAAGCCUGAUCCAGCCAUGCCGCGUGUGUGAAGAAGGCCUUCGGGUUGUAAAGCACUUUCAGUGGGGAAGAAAGCCUUGGGGCUAAUACCCUCGAGGAAGGACAUCACCCACAGAAGAAGCACCGGCUAACUCCGUGCCAGCAGCCGCGGUAAUACGGAGGGUGCGAGCGUUAAUCGGAAUUACUGGGCGUAAAGCGCGCGUAGGCGGUCUGAUAAGCCGGUUGUGAAAGCCCCGGGCUCAACCUGGGAACGGCAUCCGGAACUGUCAGGCUAGAGUGCAGGAGAGGAAGGUAGAAUUCCCGGUGUAGCGGUGAAAUGCGUAGAGAUCGGGAGGAAUACCAGUGGCGAAGGCGGCCUUCUGGACUGACACUGACGCUGAGGUGCGAAAGCGUGGGUAGCAAACAGGAUUAGAUACCCCUGUAGUC
rnacentral:rRNA from 1 species